GACCGCCACGGUGACUUGCAAGCAACUCACUGCACUUAGGUACUGGACUAUCUGAAUUUCUAAUUCAGUGACGGAAGGUUGCUGGGUAUAGUCAAGUACUUGACUUGUCGGUGCGUGUGUCAAGAUGGGAUUGACCACUCUAGUUUAGGAGCUGUGUACAGUCGUAUUUCAAUUUAGCAAAACCUUGGCCAGGGUAGUCCUAGUGAGGAGUCACAGGACUAAUUGAGUUGAGCACGAUUCGGAUGAUAUCAUCAGGGUUGACAGUUUAACCCUGAGUCGUCCUAAACACAGGGGUCAAAAGAGAUGAAUUAUACGGUAACCAUAUUCACGUAGGUUCUGAAUAUUGUGAUUGCGAUUAUUCGACCUAUCCGGUCGUCGGGUACCAUUGCUAGAUGGUCACUUCGAUUAGUACAGGAAUUGGUUCCUGUGCUACCGGUUUGGUUCGAACCUGCGGGGUCACACACAUUAGAGGUUCCUUUCUGAUCUGAUGGCUGAUUAUGAGUCUUAUCUAUCUGAAACUCUAUGAUUGAGAAUUAGGAUUCUCUAAUCAUGAGUUCCACACAUUUUAGGUACCGGGGUCAAAAUUUUGAAUUUCAAAUUUUGAAUUUGAAAUUUGAACUUUUUUAUCAGGGUUUCAUAUCGAUGGUCUCUGAUGCCUGAUUGUCCAUCAAAUUUGGACUCAAUAUUUAUGAGAGGUUUAAUUAGUGAUUUAAUCACUAAUUAACUCAAUUUGAUUGAGUAAUUAUUUUUGGAUCAAGUCCAAUUGAAUUGGAUUCAGUUUGGAUUGACCCGAUUAGGUUAAAUGUUAACCUAAUCGCUAAGGUGGUUUAGUCCCUGAUUU
rnacentral:lncRNA from 1 species